rnacentral:rRNA from 1 species
GACGAACGCUGGCGGCGUGCCUAAUACAUGCAAGUUGAGCGAUGAAGCUUGGUGCUUGCACCAAUUUGAAGAGCAGCGAACGGGUGAGUAACGCGUGGGGAAUCUGCCUUUGAGCGGGGGACAACAUUUGGAAACGAAUGCUAAUACCGCAUAACAACUUUAAACAUAAGUUUUAAGUUUGAAAGAUGCAAUUGCAUCACUCAAAGAUGAUCCCGCGUUGUAUUAGCUAGUUGGUGAGGUAAAGGCUCACCAAGGCGAUGAUACAUAGCCGACCUGAGAGGGUGAUCGGCCACAUUGGGACUGAGACACGGCCCAAACUCCUACGGGAGGCAGCAGUAGGGAAUCUUCGGCAAUAGACGAAAGUCUGGCCGAGCAACGCCGCGUGAGUGAAGAAGGUUUUCGGAUCGUAAAACUCUGUUGGUAGAGAAGAACGUUGGUGAGAGUGGAAAGCUCAUCAAGUGACGGUAACUACCCAGAAAGGGACGGCUAACUACGUG